UACGGAGGGGGCUAGCGUUGUUCGGAAUUACUGGGCGUAAAGCGCACGUAGGCGGCUUUGUAAGUUAGAGGUGAAAGCCCGGAGCUCAACUCCGGAACUGCCUUUAAGACUGCAUCGCUCGAACGUCGGAGAGGUAAGUGGAAUUCCGAGUGUAGAGGUGAAAUUCGUAGAUAUUCGGAAGAACACCAGUGGCGAAGGCGACUUACUGGACGACUGUUGACGCUGAGGUGCGAAAGCGUGGGGAGCAAACAGG
rnacentral:rRNA from 1 species